rnacentral:lncRNA from 1 species
CUUUAAAAUUUAGCCUUUGUUAAGUAUAUGUGUGCAGUUUACUCAAUGCCACUAUACAUAUGAGACAUUUUAAGUUCUUACUGGAAACAUCUAGUUUUUCUAGGUGUUUAAAGUUCAUGGGCUGGGGAUUUAGCUCAGUGGUUCUGCCACCUGCCUCACAAGUGCAAGGUCCCGAGUUUGAUCUCCAGUACCAAAAAAAAAACCACAAAAACUCACACAUGUAAAAGUCAGGACUAAUAUAAUGCACUUUAAAUAUUUUUUAUUACUUCACAGGAAUGGUUGUAUUUUGAGAAUGGAACUGUCAAACUUGAUGUCUUGGAGAGUAUGCUGGCUAUUCAUGGGGUGCAGGAGGGGAAGUAUGCAGAGAGGAAGGUUUAUGCACUGAAUCAGCCCGCUGCAGAAAGGCAGGUCUGUGGAUGCCAUAGCAACAUCGUGAGUUGCGCGGAACACGCCAAAUCAGCCCGCACCCCGGCAGCAAUCCACUGGACCCCCCACCCCCCUGCUCCUCUGGACAGCCACUUGGUUCCACACUACAAAGAUGCAGAGGACACCGGACCACCAGGCCACUGUACUGGAUGGGAUCAACAGGGUGCAGACGGCAUAAAGAAGAGGAAGAAAGACAUGCAUACUGAGCAGGCAAGUGAUACAGACCUCUGAGGAGACUAAUGUAGUUUCUUCAAAGGGAGACAUCCUUGCCCUAAUGUCUAACAAAGAGAAGCCAUAUGUAUUCCAAUGAUUCCACCAACCUUGGACAUAGCUCAGUAAAUAGAAAUAAACUUUGGCCUGGAACUAAAUUGUGGAGAUUUUCCCUUGACUUUCUCUCUUUGAAAGGUGGGGACUGUAUACCACCAAUCCUUGAACCUAAGCUGAGCUUAGGGACCAAUUAACUGACAAGAAUAUGGAUGGAAAUGACACUACCUGACUUACAAGGCAACACUUGGGUCAUUCGAUCAGUCACACUGGAACCUUGAGCCACAAUGAGGAAUUUCCACCAGAGGCUACAAUACUGAGGUAAAACCCAAACUAGUCCAUCUGGAGAGACUACACAGAGAGCCCUCAAACCCUCAGAAGAAAGAGAGGUACCUGGCCAGUGCCUGACUCUGUCAACCCUGAUGAUCUUUCAGCUCCUGCC